AAAUAGUGUGAACACCGAGACAAGAUUUAAAUGUUGGAUUUUUGCACAUGGACUUGUUCAGAACAACUGAGAUAGCUUGUAUUUUAACUUGUAUGCUAAAUGUAGCUAAACAUAGAUAAGCAGAAAUAUACCACAGUUUCCAAGCCUCGAAAGCAAUGAAACAAACAAACAAGGGGGAAAAAACGCAAGAACUGUUUAGAUUUAUCAGCGGCUAGGCUGAAUAUAAGGAAAUGAUUAAGAAAUAGCUGGCAAUGGUUACGUCCUGAGCAAAAUCUGGAGUAAAAAUUAAGAGUGCAAGAGUCUCACUCUCUGAAAGCUUUUGGGUGCUGCAUAAGUCACAUCUACUAUAUCAAAUGGACACAGCUCAAUUCCUAGACUGUAAGAUGCAAAAGGCUUGUUGGGGUAAUUUAGUUUGCUUUCUGUGCACCUGCAGUCGGAAAUUUUCUCCAGAGAAGCACAGAAUUACAGGAAGAAGUGGAUUUGGAGCAGAGAGUGCUUGUGGCUGUAGAAGGUGUUGAGAGCUGUUGUAAGCACUCCCAAAGUUUAACCAGGAUGAACCACCUCAGUGUCACAGUUUCUUUUCACAGGACAAGUGCUCCAGAGCCCUGAGCAUCCUGCAGACCCUCUGCUGAACUCACACCAAAAUCGAUGCAGUACUCUGGAUACAAUCUAUUGAGUACUGAGAUGACGGGAAUAAUCAUGUCCAUCAACCUACUGGUUGUACUUCUGUUCAUACAGCCUAGGAUGUUUUUGGCCCUUCUGCUGGCAGGGCUCAGCUCACUGACCAUCAGGACCCUGAGAACCUUUUCUGCAGGGCUUCUCCCUAGUCAGUGUCCACCCAGCCUGGAUUGCUGUGAGAACUGAGUAUGUUUGUACAUAAUUAGUUAUCCUUUUGUGCCUUUAAGAUGGCAGUCUAUGGCAAAACUUAUUCUUUUUUACCUUUUUUAUUUUUUUUUUCCUAGAAUAGCUAAUCUUAGAUUUGGCCUAUUUGUUUUUGGGGUUUUUUUUGUUGUUGUUUUUUUUUUUUUGCAUAUUCAUCGACUUUGGGCUAAUCUCAAAAUAAAUAAAACAAUGUUCUAAUUAUUGAAGAUACUGAUGCCUUUUCUGGUUGCUUUUCUCACAGUAUCACAUGCUCAGGUCCUCUUUAAAAGGAAACUCUGAGGGGCUUUCAAGUUUGUGUCAUUAUCUUGAGUAUUUUUACUUGGCACUGUUGGCUUGGGAAACACUACACUGUGUGUGAGCAGUUUGUAGGAACAUGAAAACUCAAAUCCAGCAAUUAAAUAAUGAGAACUGAAAGUACCAGGUGAGGAUUGCUGCAAUGCCCUGGAUGGAAAGGAUGUGAUCUGGAAGAACUCAGUUCCUGUUCGUACUUUUCCUGCCUUUUGGGAGCUGUUGUGUGUGUGGCUUACUACAAUUAGCAUUCAUUUCUUUGGAGGGGAAAUAGGGCUCUUAUGUUCAAAACUAUAGCCUGGUAGGGGGAAUUGCCUUCCUUUGGUGUUAACUGCUCUCUGCAAUGCUUGCGCUGCUAGAAGACUUUUUUGGGAAGGUCGAAGCACCUUUCCAUGCAAAUCAGUUUGGAGCAGACAAGUGCACCCUCUGUAUGCAGACUAUAUUUAAGGUGAAUGCAGUCUAUAUUUAAGGUGAAUCUGAGUUAAUUGUAGAUAUCUUGCAAAUGUGAUAACCAAAAAAUGCAAGAAGAAAGC